CGGGGUGCACCAGGCGCGAAACCUUUACACUGCGGGAAACCGCGAUAAGGGGACCCCGAGUGCCAGCACCUAGUGCUGGCUGUCCAGCUGUCUAAAUAACAGUUGUUAGCAAGGGCCGGGCAAGACCGGUGCCAGCCGCCGCGGUAACACCGGCGGCCCGAGUGGUAGCCGCUAUUAUUGGGUUUAAAGGGCCCGUAGCCGGCCUAUUAAGUCUCUUGGGAAAUCUGGCGGCUUAAUCGUCAGGCGGCCAAGAGAUACUGGUAGGCUUGGGACCGGGAGAGGUGGGAGGUACUCCAGGGGUAGGGGUGAAAUCUCGUAAUCCUUGGGGGACCACCGAUGGCGAAGGCAUCCCACCAGAACGGGUCCGACGGUGAGGGAAGAAAGCUGGGGGCACGAACCGGAUUAGAUACCCGGGUAGUCCCAGCUGUAAACGAUGCUCGCUAGGUGUCAGGUGCGGUGCGACCGCAUCUGGUGCCGCAGUGAAAACUUGAAGCGAGUCACCUGGGAAGUACGGUCGCAAGGCUGAAACUUAAAGGAAUCGGCGGGGGAGCA
rnacentral:rRNA from 1 species